rnacentral:rRNA from 1 species
GACGUAGGGCGCGAGCGUUGUCCGGAUUUAUUGGGCGUAAAGAGCUCGUAGGCGGUUUGUCGCGUCUGCUGUGAAAACUCGGGGCUUAACUCCGGGCCUGCAGUGGGUACGGGGCAGACUAGAGUGCGGUAGGGGGAGACUGGAAUUCCUGGUGUAGCGGUGAAAUGCGCAGAUAUCAGGAGGAACACCGGUGGCGAAGGCGGUGCUCUGGGCCGGAACUGACGCUGAGGAGCGAAAGCGUGGGGAGCAAACAGG